ensembl:lncRNA
GGAGAUGCGACCGGCUCCAGCUAACGACCGGCCUGCACUGCGAUCGGGCAGACAUCCCUCGGUCAGCUUGCCACAACGUCCCUGCCAUUAAUUACAGCUCAGCCGCAGGGUCCCUCUACCUGGUGCCGGUUGGGAGUUAAUCCGGUUAAGGCCCCGGUCUCGUCUUCGCGGCUGAGCGGCGUGGUUGAGGCUCCACAGUGCCCUGCGGGGGCCCGAGGCGCCUCUCCAGCCCAACGCCUUGGCUUAAGCGUGGCGCGGCAGAUGUCAAAACCCAACACUUUCUGAUGUGAGAAGAGCGCUGCAGAAUGGGAGGGACGGAGCACAGCGCGAGAGAAGGAGGAAGCGUAGCGAGAGCAAGAGCAUUAGGAGAAGGGCUAUGAAGCAGCAGUGAUUGUCCCCCAUUGGUCCCAG